rnacentral:rRNA from 1 species
AUGAUGUCCCAAAAGGAUGUAAGGGACGAGAAGAAGCGGCAAAGCAAGGACGAGCAAAUGAAGCAAUACCUAGACCUUCAAAGACAGAAGCUUGAGAUGGAGGAGGCGGCCAAGAGGAGGAAGCUCGACAUGGAGGAGGCGGCCCGGCAAAGGCAGCUCGACAUGGAGGAGGCGGCCCGGCAAAGGCAGCUGGACAUCGAGGCCGACAACGUCAAGGCCAGGCAGAGGCAGCUCGACAUCGAGGCCACCAAUGCCGCCACCAAAGCGAAGGAGGUGGCCCUUGCGAUCAUGAGCGUGGACUUGUCGAAGAUGAGCGACAAGACGAGGGCCUGGUUCGAGGCCAGACAGAAGGAGAUGCUCGACGCCGAAGGCCUGAACUAG